UACGUAGGGUGCAAGCGUUAAUCGGAAUUACUGGGCGUAAAGCGUGCGCAGGCGGUUCUCAAAGACAGAUGUGAAAUCCCCGGGCUCAACCUGGGAACUGCAUUUGUGACUGUAGAGCUGGAGUACGGCAGAGGGGGAUGGAAUUCCGCGUGUAGCAGUGAAAUGCGUAGAUAUGCGGAGGAACACCGAUGGCGAAGGCAAUCCCCUGGGCCUGUACUGACGCUCAUGCACGAAAGCGUGGGGAGCAAACAGG
rnacentral:rRNA from 1 species